rnacentral:misc_RNA from 1 species
CGUCGGUCUCCUGCUGGUAGCAGAAAUCGAUCUUUGCUCAGGUGUAUGAAGGUUUAGUGUGUGUUUGAUUGUUUGGGAUCGGUUGAUCGAUCGAUCGAUCGGGGUGAAGCCUAUAUAAUGCUUCAUCUCUCUCUGCUGUUAAUGCUGUUGUUUCAAUUGUUUGUUGCUGUUUCUCCUUUUUAAACCCGUAUAAUUGGAUAUCUUUUUGCGAGUCAUAAUUCUGGUUUGAUUAGAUCUUUCUUCCGGUGGUUUGUUUCUUUCUGAUUUGGAAUGCUAUGUUCACUGCAAACUUUUAGUUUCUUACCUUUUUUUGGUUUAUUUGUGAUCAUGGGUCUGUUAUGAAUUUGUAAAUGAGAGAUUUGAUUUCUUUGUACGAUGUUGGAUAUAUCUCUACCACCAGAUGGGGACUAUACGUCUGCCCCUUUAGCAGG